GACCGCUCCUGUGGCCUAGUGGUUAGAGCGUCCUCUUCGGAUGCGGGAGCUCGUGGGUUCUAUCCCCGGCCGAGUCA